rnacentral:rRNA from 1 species
GACGAACGCUGGCGGCGUGCCUAAUACAUGCAAGUCGAGCGAAGUGGAGAGAGCUUGCUCCAAAAGCUUAGCGGCGAACGGGUGAGUAACACGUGGGCAACCUGCCUGACAGACCGGGAUAACUUGGGGAAACUCAAGAUAAUACCGGAUAGGAACUCGAAUCGCAUGGUUUGAGAUGGAAAGUCGGAACGACACUGUCAGCUGGGCCCCCGGCGCAUUAGCUAGUUGGGGGGGUAAUGGCCUACGAAGGCGACGAUGCGUAGCCGACCUGAGAGGGUGACCGGCCACACUGUGACUGAGACACGGCCCAGACUCCUACGGGAGGCAGCAGUAGGGAAUCUUCCACAAUGGACGAAAGUCUGAUGGAGCAACGCCGCGUGAGUGAUGAAGGUUUUCGGAUCGUAAAACUCUGUUGUUAGGGAAGAACAUCCGGGAGAGGAUCCCGGAUUGACGGUACCUGACGAGAAAGCCCCGGCUAACUACGUGCCAGCAGCCGCAGUAACAC